GAGAUGUGUUUUUCAAAUGAAAUUGUACAAAAACGACAGAAGUCACCGACGGAACAAAAAUAAAAAAAAAAUUUGUCUUUGAGAGAAAAGCUAAAUGAGGUAGCUGUUAAAUCACGCUGACGGAACAACUGCGCGUUGAUAUUUCUGAAAUUUUACACUGCAUCAACGUUGAAGAACGUUUUUUUCCCCUUGAGGUUUCGAAGAAGAUACAAUAUACAGAUCCAGAACGUCAGGGGCAUUAUCGCUCUGUGAUCUCGUUGCAGGCGAAUUGAAAAAGACAUAGAGUGGAGAAGCCUUUGUUUGUAAUGACAGCGUCAAGACGCUUCCUGUAUGAAGAAAUUAAUCGGCCGCAGUAUUCAGGUGUGAUUUUGGCCCAUUCUUCUAAACAUAUUGUCUUUAAAUCUUGUUCAAUUGGAUUCAAGUCAGGUGAUUGACUGGGUCAUUCUAAUGCCUUGAUUUUUUUUCUCUUACACCAAUUGAGAGUUU